rnacentral:rRNA from 1 species
CGGACGGGUGAGUAGCGCGUAAAGAACUUGCCCUUUAGACUGGGAUAACAGAGGGAAACUUCUGAUAAUACUGGAUAAGUUAGUAUAUCGCAUGAUAUGCAAAUGAAAGCUACGGCACUAAAGGAGAGCUUUGCGUCCUAUUAGCUAGUUGGUAAGGUAAGAGCUUACCAAGGCGAUGAUAGGUAGCCGGCCUGAGAGGGUGGACGGCCACAAGGGGACUGAGAUACGGCCCAGACUCCUACGGGAGGCAGCAGUA